ACAUUCGAUGCCUGCGACUGUCUUCAUAGGUGAUAGUAUUGAAAGCAAAGGCUAACGAUUCCAGUUCCCAAACAGCCGACACGAACAAUUCAAAUCGAAAAAUAUCCCCUUUAAAUUGCUUUGUUCCCGGUAAAACUUCGCCAGCGUAUAGAAUAAACACCCAUCUUCGAACAUACAAGACAAUAUUAACACGUCCUAUAAUUUUUGCAAUGGAUUUUUAGCGAAAUGUUUCGAGACUAAAAUUCUAUGGAACUUAGAAAGCCCGAUAAUUACUACGGCGCCUGCUUGGCCACCUAGCCUCCUUUACCGUUUGGAUUGUCAGGGGGGGUUCAAAUAAAAAACACCUAUUUUCGGCAACAGCCAGCCAAUCAACGCCGCGAUACCGACUGUUUACAAUAUUUGAAAUCUGAUAUUGUAAUUUAUCAACAACAAAACUCUUUCGAUCGUAUACAGCAACAACAGGCAGCAAAUCAAUGCCGCGAUAGCGACGGUUUACUAUAUUUGAAAUCUGAUAUUGUAAUUUGCAAAAGCUCCCUUUUCUAUCUUAUACUAUACGAUCGAUCGAUCGAAAGAGUUUUGUUGUUGAUAAAUUACAAUAUCAGAUUUCAAAUAUUGUAAACAGUCGGUAUCGCGGCGUCGAGAUUGGCUAGCUGUUGCCCGAAAUAGGUGUUUUUUAUUCGACCCCCCCUGACAAUCCAAACGGUAAAGGAGGCUAGGUGGCCAAGCAGGCGCCGUAGUAAUUAUCGGGC